rnacentral:tRNA from 1 species
GGUGAGGUGGGUGAGUGGCUGAAACCACCGGUUUGCUAAACCGACGUACGGAUAAAACUGUACCGCGGGUUCGAAUCCCGCCCUCACCG